AGGAUGUGAGGUUCUUAAUGUCAGGUCAGUCAUAGAGAAGCUAUGGUCUGUAAAAGAUUCUUGUGAGAAGCUGAGCUGAAGUGGUUGUACAGUAUACAUCAUUCUUAAUGAGAAGAUCCCAAAGCACUGUACAGAUGUUAAUUCCAACACUAUUUUCAUAAG